AGAGUUUGAUCCUGGCUCAGAUUGAACGCUGGCGGAAUGCCUUACACAUGCAAGUCGAACGGCAGCACGGGAGCUUGCUCCUGGUGGCGAGUGGCGAACGGGUGAGUAACAUAUCGGAACAUAUCCUAUCGUGGGGGAUAACUAGUCGAAAGACUAGCUAAUACCGCAUACGUCCUGAGGGAGAAAGCGGGGGCUCGCAAGACCUCGCGCGAUUGGAGUGGCCGAUAUCUGAUUAGCUAGAUGGUGAGGUAAAAGCUCACCAUGGCGACGAUCAGUAGCUGGUCUGAGAGGAUGAUCAGCCACACUGGGACUGAGACACGGCCCAGACUCCUACGGGAGGCAGCAGUGGGGAAUUUUGGACAAUGGGCGAAAGCCUGAUCCAGCCAUUCCGCGUGAGUGAAGAAGGCCUUCGGG
rnacentral:rRNA from 1 species